CGCUAUCAUCCUACGGGAGGCAGCAGUGGGGAAUAUUGCACAAUGGGGGGAAAACCCUGAUGCAGCCAUGCCGCGUGUGUGAAGAAGGCCUUCGGGUUGUAAAGCACUUUCAGUAGGGAGGAAGGUAGUGUAGUUAACACCUGCAUUAUUUGACGUUACCUACAGAAGAAGCACCGGCUAACUCCGUGCCAGCAGCCGCGGUAAUACGGAGGGUGCGAGCGUUAAUCGGAAUUACUGGGCGUAAAGCGCAUGCAGGCGGCCUGUUAAGUCAGAUGUGAAAGCCCGGGGCUUAACCUCGGAAUUGCAUUUGAAACUGGCAGGCUAGAGUCUUGUAGAGGGGGUAGAAUUUCAGGUGUAGCGGUGAAAUGCGUAGAGAUCUGAAGGAAUACCAGUGGCGAAGGCGGCCCCCUGGACAAAGACUGACGCUCAGAUGCGAAAGCGUGGGGAGCAAACAGGAUUAGAUACCCUGGUAG
rnacentral:rRNA from 1 species